AUUGAACGCUGGCGGCAGGCCUAACACAUGCAAGUCGAGCGGAUGAGAGGAGCUUGCUCUUCGAUUCAGCGGCGGACGGGUGAGUAAUGCCUAGGAAUCUGCCUAGUAGUGGGGGACAACGUUUCGAAAGGAACGCUAAUACCGCAUACGUCCUACGGGAGAAAGUGGGGGAUCUUCGGACCUCACGCUAUUAGAUGAGCCUAGGUCGGAUUAGCUAGUUGGUAGGGUAAAGGCCUACCAAGGCGACGAUCCGUAACUGGUCUGAGAGGAUGAUCAGUCACACUGGAACUGAGACACGGUCCAGACUCCUACGGGAGGCAGCAGUGGGGAAUAUUGGACAAUGGGCGAAAGCCUGAUCCAGCCAUGCCGCGUGUGUGAAGAAGGCCUUCGGGUCGUAAAGCACUUUAAGUUGGGAGGAAGGGCUCAUAGCGAAUACCUGUGAGUUUUGACGUUACCAACAGAAUAAGCACCGGCUAACUUCGUGCCAGCCGCCUCCGUAA
rnacentral:rRNA from 1 species